GCCGGGGGGAGAGAGCCGGACUGCUCGGGGUUAGGCUGGGCAUCGGUCAGCGAGUGGAAGCAUCUGGAGUUUCCAUACUGAAGAGACUAUUUUUCUGGCAUGUGCCAAGACACUGAAAGUAAUGCUGCCUUGGGGAAAGGAUCACAGAUGCUCCUUGAUUUCUCACUGAGCAAUUAAUGGAAGCAAUGGCAAGUUUGAAUAUAUACUGUGAAUACAAAGAACUUCAUGAACUUCGUUCAAAUACCGAGAACAAUGGCUAUGAAGUCUGCUUUAAAUUCAUUUUUUUGUUUGUUUGUUUUUCCAUAGGAUUUUAGCACCUAACACAUGAUUUCUAGAGAUAGAUCAUUAAGGAUCAAUAACCAGAACAGCUCCAUUUCGAUCUCCCCAUACCCUGAUUUUUCUUUUUACAGUUAGACUUGUACACACAUGAAGAUGCUGAGUACCCCUUAGAGUACAUCUAUCCUGUUACAUUGAUUUUCUCUCAUUUUCUGUUUUUCACCAUGUCCUGGUUUCAGUUAGCACAGAAUUAAUUUUCUUCCUAGUAGCUGGUGGAAUGCUGUGUUUUGGCUUAGGAUGAGAAGAGUGCUG